CCUUGACAUACUAAGAACUUUCCAGAGAUGGAUUGGUGCCUUUCGGGAACUUUAGAUACAGGUGCUGCAUGGCUGUCGUCAGCUCGUGUCGUGAGAUGUUGGGUUAAGUCCCGCAUCGAGCGCAACCCUUUUCCUAUUUGCCAGCGGGUCAUGCCGGGAACUUUAAGGAUACUGCCAGUGACAAACUGGAGGAAGGCGGGGACGACGUCAAGUCAUCAUGGCCCUUACGGCCAGGGCUACACACGUGCUACAAUGGUCGGUACAAAGGGUUGCUACCUCGCGAGAGGAUGCUAAUCUCAAAAAGCCGAUCGUAGUCCGGAUCGCAGUCUGCAACUCGACUGCGUGAAGUCGGAAUCGCUAGUAAUCGCGGAUCAGAAUGCCGCGGUGAAUACGUUCCCGGGCCUUGUACACACCGCCCGUCACACCAUGGGAGUUUGUUGCACCAGAAGUAGGUAGUCUAACCGCAAGGAGGACGCUUACCACGGUGUGGCCGAUGACUGGGGUGAAGUCGUAACAAGGUAAGCGUAGAUGA
rnacentral:rRNA from 1 species